UUUUUUUUUUUUUUUCUUUUGUUUUGUUUUGUUUUGUUUUUUGUUUUUUUGUUUUUUUGUUGUUGUUUUUUUUUUUUUUUAAUGAAAGACCCUGAAGGUUUCAGCACCUGAACAAAUUAUAAAACUUCUGUCUUCCCUGAGGGUCAGGGGGCCUAUUCUGUUCAAAUUGCUGGGGUUCAUGCUUUUGCCAUAUGGCAAAGGCUCAGAGUUGAAUCCUUCAAUGACUGUAGGGUAAACUACCAUUGUCAUUCAGCACAACUGUCUAUACACACAUAUGGACUCUGCAGUGAAGCUUCUAUCUGGCUUAUAUGCUGCCCUGCUCAUAUUACACAUUUCAUGGCUGGCAUCAGGCUGUGACCAGAAGACAAAAGAAAUUAAAAUGGCAGUAUUCUUUUAUUUUUCUGUUCCCAUUCUAGUGCCCUGGCCUUGACAGAAAUAAAUGGUUAUAACAGACCUUGAAACAACAAAUUUCAUAGCCUUGGGUUGGUUUCUUAUGAAUUAUUGUCUUCAUUGAGGAUGUCUUUAUAUUUCCUUUUAAUUAUUUUUCUACAAGAAUAUGCAAGGACUAAUUUGGAAGGAGAGGAUGGGAGCUGCUGUGUGUGUACAUGGAUAUGUACACAUUCUCUCUAAAGGUAGUGUAAAAUUUGUGAUUAGUUGUUCAGAUUAGUCAUGUUUCAGAUUCCCAGUCAAAAUUUCAAAGGGUUUUUUGCUAGUCACAGCAAUUUCACAAUUCCCACCCCUCUUCCCCCAAUGUUCCUGACACUGUUGUCUGGCAGCAGCCUCUGAUAAGGAUUGACUGGAGAUAGAAGAAGGCUGAGAGCUCCAAAAGGCAUACAAGUCAGCACAGGACAGUUGGUUUGGACUUCUUCACUGCCAGUGUUGUGGCCCAGGAGUGACAUCCCUUCACAUUGCAUGCACAGAGCAACACCAAGCAACAGGCAGAAAACCCAAAUCUUAUUGCCAGCCGUCUGAAUUUCUGUGAAUACACAAGCAUGAGGUGCAUGAGGUGACAUGCUGGAGUGGGUACCUGUGAGUGAGGGUUCUGUGACUACUGGGCCAAAACAGGAAGGGUACUGCUCCAAAAUACCGCCUUCAUCAGGUCUGAUUUUCUAAAUUCUCUAUAGGACUGGAGUGGCACUGCAGAGGUCUGAGGUAGAUUCACAGGGUAAAGGAUAGCUGGCAUCCUGUCUAAUAAGUCAUUUAAUACUUCUCCUGGUCUAAAUACAACUCUCCUGUGUUGAAUCAUCCUCUCUUGUAGUAUUUGUGAGACUAUGAGAAGACAUUGCUAAGAUUCCUUAAGACAGUACAUUUUUAAAUUUCAUCUUCUGUAAGGAGUGUAGAGAUAGAGUGGAAACACUUGAACUUUUUCCCCACCGUGAUGUCAUGAAGACGAGGGAUAAUGCUGGUGCCAAUGGAAUGUGAAGCCCCUAUCAUGGCACAGAAGACCAAACCAAUGAAAAUCCCAGUCAUACAUAAUGCUUUAUAUCUGAUUUUUCACUGUAAAUGUCAUAUAAAGAAAGGAUCUCUCUGAUAUUUCAAGGAGCAGCAAAGUCUGUGAUGACAUGUUGGUAUCAAGAUUUGCAUAUUUUUUAUAGAUAAGCUGUCAAAAUGUAUGUUGUCAAUUUCACCUUAUACUCAGAAUUUAAUGAUGCACAUAAAGGACAGAAAAUCUUUAAUAUUAAUAUUAAUAUGAUUUUAGAUUAUAAGACUUCAUUGUGGAUAUCAAUCACCUAACCCUUAAGGACAUGCCACUCAAGCUGAUAGAGUUUAUAGAAAAUUAAUGUGAUCCAUUCUGUAUGAUCUAUUGCAGGAUGGGGGGCUCAGGGGGUGGUACGGGGAGUAGGCAGCGGGUUGGCCAUCCUGAGUUUGCAUUCCUUUCUUGGGUAUGUUCAGCCCUUUGAGUAGAUUAACUCUGCCUGACCUGGGACUCAAUUUGCUGUCUUUCAUGUAGCUGUUGAGGAGCUGUGGAACCUGUAACCCGAGGGAGAGUUUGCAGCUUUGCCGAUGGCCCCCUGCUGGGCUACUGCCUGCAUAAGGAGGUUGUAUUUUAUCAGCAAGAGGUGCUCUUGGAGAAAUAUUUCACUUCCACUUGCUACUUAAUAGCUUGAAAGGGGAUGGGUAUUACAGCUUCCAAGAAUCUAAAGGGGAAAGGAAUACAGGAAAGUAGGUGAGAUGGCAAGCUACUCUUAUGAUUCAUACCCCUAUAAGAAGAGCAUUGAGGUUGACAGGUUUCUUAAACUUGAUUGUACUGACAUUCUGGUAAAAUCACCCUGAUAUUUACAGAGAGGCUUUGAAAAGCAGUUACAAGCUUUGGUUGGGGUUAUUUUUGGUAUCUUCUUCCUCGUGUCAGAACAGACUCGUUCAUUUAAGGCACUACCAAAUCAACAUUCUUACACCUUCUUUGCAAGGGCAGAAGCUUCCAGAUAGAGUUCAGAGAGGAAUUUGGAGGUUUUGAUCUUUUACUUCAGUAAAAGAGCUACUACUGCUGUAGUUCAUUACAUUUGAUACCAGCAGCUCCAGUGGAGUACACGUGCAGGACCCUUAGGAGAAGACAAAACUUGGACGAGGCUGCAAAAAUUAGUUCUGUUUUCUUUUUGGGAAGGACAGAACAAGACCAUUGCACACUCUUCCUAGCAAUUCUUCUAUGACAAGAAGAAAUAUUUUGUGGGUGAAUAGAACUAGGAUCAGUUUCAAGCUCAGUCACAGGUGGGAAAAAAUCUAAAUAUCCUAACAAAAUGGUGAUCCUUCUUGUGUGCAACUCUGCUGUCCUGCCCUUCCUUUGCAAGCCUUAUUUAUGUUCAGACUGCAGCUGUGCUGGUUCAGGGCUUUCAUCACAAGUACACACAACACAUGUGUGUAGCCACACAAUCUUAUUUUAAAUGGCUAGUGAUGGUGCAUCAUGUCUGGUUAUCUCCCCAACCCUCAUCUUCUCUGACAUUGGUUCCCAGGGAGUGCAGCAUUAAGCUUGCUGGUGAAAUCAUGCCUUCAGCUUUCUGCAGUGUUUCUGGGUCAAUUUUCUUGUUUGGGCCAAGAAGAAGUCAUACAAAUUUAAAAAUUAAGGGUUUUGUUUCAGUCCCUGAAAUUAAGUAGCUGACACUAUUUGGGACUUUAGGAAGCAAAACCCUGAUACCCACCUUUUGUAUUAUCUUCUAAGCUGUGAGUUCUGAGAGACACUGAAAUUUGUAGGGAGACCCUGGGAUCUGACACCAUGGUGGGAUGGGGGAGAAGGAACUGGAAACUACCUUGUUAAUAAUAUUCCCACAAGCAGAGAAUAAUAAGGUGAAAGUUCAAGCAUGAAAUGAAGACAACACUAAUCUGUUCCCUUUAUCCACUUCACAAUACCUGCAAGAAAGAGGUAGGGGAGCUCUUAUAUUUAGCACGUGAAAGUACCAUGAUGCUCUGGCAACACAGAUUGGGUCAAUGUAGUUAGUAACUGCUGGAGUUUAUACAUAUACAUACUCCUCUUAUCUCUGAAAAAGACAGUAUGCACAGGCUCAAUUAAAAAAAAAAAAAAAAAAAAAA
rnacentral:lncRNA from 1 species